rnacentral:rRNA from 1 species
UACGAAGGGGACUAGCGUUGUUCGGAAUCACUGGGCGUAAAGCGCACGUAGGUGGAUUUGUAAGUCAGGGGUGAAAUCCCGGGGCUCAACCUCGGAACUGCCUUUGAUACUGCAAGUCUUGAGUCCGAUAGAGGUGGGUGGAAUUCCUAGUGUAGAGGUGAAAUUCGUAGAUAUUAGGAAGAACACCAGUGGCGAAGGCGGCCCACUGGAUCGGUACUGACACUGAGGUGCGAAAGCGUGGGGAGCAAACAGG